rnacentral:misc_RNA from 1 species
UCUUUAGCUCCGGCCGGUCGAGCCCAACCUAGCCGUGGUCCCCUCUCCCUCUCUCUUCAACUUUCUCUGCACAAACCAGCUCCCCACCUCCGACAAUCCGCCGACCAAACCUGAAAAAGCUCACCAAAUCCGGGUCGCGUGCAGAAGGCGUGAUUGGAGCUGGAAGUCGGCUAUAAAUGGAGCCAGAUGAAGGAGGACCGGGGUGCGCUUCUCUAGCCGGGACACCCAAUAGCUCUCAAGCUGAAUGCUGAUUUGUAUAGCAAAAUCUCGCCGGAGUUGUAUCGCCG